rnacentral:rRNA from 1 species
UACGUAGGGUGCAAGCGUUAAUCGGAAUUACUGGGCGUAAAGCGUGCGCAGGCGGUUUUGUAAGUCUGUCGUGAAAUCCCCGGGCUCAACCUGGGAAUUGCGAUGGAGACUGCAAGGCUAGAAUCUGGCAGAGGGGGGUAGAAUUCCACGUGUAGCAGUGAAAUGCGUAGAUAUGUGGAGGAAUACCGAUGGCGAAGGCAGCCCCCUGGGAUAACACUGACGCUCAUGCACGAAAGCGUGGGGAGCAAACAGG